AGUUGCUUCCUUGUGGUCAGGUGUAUAUAAGUGCUCCCCUUUCUCCAAAUAACAGAACCUACCAGAGAUUCCUUAUACAACAAGAGAAUAUCACCAUGGCUAUCUUGACCAUAUUUCUGCUUCUCAGCGCUGCCUUUGCUCUGGGUGAUGCAAGGGAUCUGAAUGACACAGAGAAUCAAAUKAUKGAGAAUCUG